AUUGAGAGGGCGUGGAUGCAAAAUACUUGCACAAGAAAUCAGGGAUGGACCGGACCGCCGCGCAAAUGGUGCAGCACGUCAGCACCGAAUCCUCCAGGCACCGCCACCGCUGUUCCGCUCUUCCUCUUCCGCGUCACGCGCGCGCCAGAGCUGCGGCAGGAUUCCCCGGCGGGAGGCGCAGGCCGCACGCCGCGACCAUUCGGCUCCUCGUCCACCCCACACCUGGCCACACGGGCCCUCUCCUACUCCGCCUCCCCCUCCUGCUGGCGGCGGAUGGCCUCCUCCUCCUCCUCGCCGGCCCCGGCCCCGGCCGGGGAAUCCCUGCGCCAGAAACGCAUCCUCUCCAGCAAGCUCUACCUCGACGUGCCCUCCUCCAAGGCGCCAGUGGUCUACUCGCCGGCCUACGACAUCUCCUUCCUGGGGUUCGAGAAGCUGCACCCGUUUGAGUCCGCCAAAUGGGGCCGCAUCUGCAGGUACCUCACCAGAGAAGGGCACCUGGAGAAGAAAAAGCUCGUGGAGCCAUUGGAAGCCUGCAAGGAGGAUUUGCUAGUGGUGCACACGGAGAAGUAUCUGAACAGCCUCAAAAGCAGCUACAGAGUUGCCUCCAUUGUAGAGGUCCCUCCUGUGUCGCUUGUCCCUAACUGGAUCGUGCAUAAAAAGCUACUAUACCCGUUCCGGAAGCAGGUGGGUGGGUCAAUUUUGUCAGCCAAACUUGCACUCGAGAGAGGAUGGUCCAUUAAUGUUGGUGGAGGAUUUCACCAUUGUUCGGCAGAGGAAGGGGGUGGAUUUUGUGCGUACGCUGACAUCUCUCUCUGCAUCCAGUUUGCUUUUGUCCGUCUAAACAUUUCAAGUGUAUUGAUCAUAGACCUGGAUGCUCACCAAGGAAAUGGGCAUGAAAAAGAUUUUGCUAAUGAUGGAAGAGUUUACAUUUUGGACAUGUACAAUGCUGGAAUUUAUCCCUUUGAUUUCACUGCUAAGCAAUACAUCGAUCAAAAAGUUGAAUUAGUUAGUGGUACAAAAACAGAUGAAUACUUGGAGCAACUUGACAACGCCCUUGAGUUCCUCUUGGAACAUAUUGUUUGCAGGUAUGCAAAAGUAGAUUUCAGCCCCAGUUGAUUGUUUACAAUGCUGGAACAGACAUCCUAGAUGGUGAUCCAUUGGGCAAAUUGGAGAUAAGUCCUGAGGGCGUGGUUACCAGAGAUGAGAAGGUGUUUAGAUUCGCGAAAGAUCAAAACAUUCCAGUCCUCAUGCUGACAUCAGGAGGCUACAUGAAGUCAAGCGCUCGAGUAAUCGCUGACUCGAUCAUCAAUCUCUCGAAUAAAAACUUGAUAGAACUAGGCAACCAGCUGGGUUGAGCAAGAACUUGUGAUGAGAGUGUUUAUCGUAAAGCACACAUCUCCCGGAUGUAUAUGUCAUUGUGAAUAAAAGUGUAUAGUACUUUUAUUGUGAUGGAUGACAUAUAUGCCAUAGAAAAGGUUUGUACAUAACACGGGGCCUUCUUAAAUCUUGACUAUGUGAAGUCAAGUAAUCAAUGCGUAUAAAGCAUUUCAGAAAA